ensembl:lncRNA
CUUGUAUUCCCCAUUAAAUCUUCCACUUCAACGCUUUGUUCUGAGUUAAGGUAAAUACUCAAGAAGAUCAAUGACAUUGCUUCAUACUGGUUAGUCACUUAAAUUUAAAAACAGCUUAGAGAAAUACCACUGAUAAACCACUGCUGCACAGUGUGUUGAAGAAAGCCGUCUUUUCUGCCAUGUGUACCUGCUUGUAUUCACCCUGAUAAACAGUAUAUUAGACUGCUGUUACUUCUGUCUAUUACAUUAUCUACUACAUUGCUCAGGCUGGGGAGGAUGAACUGGAAUCUCUAACUCCUUUAGCUGACCUCCG